rnacentral:lncRNA from 1 species
UGUACGAGGUCUUCUGGAUAUGGUGAAUUGUGUACGAAGAUUAUGAGUAGGUCAACAAGAAAUUAAUCACUUCUAGUAAGAGAAGAUAGCAUCCUAUUUAUUCUAAUCAUAUGAUAAUUCAGGAAGCCUUUGAUCAAAGCAGAAUGAAAAUUAGAAAGAGUUUCUAAUGUUUCAUUAUUUGAAUUAUCAUUAAAAGAUUGAGAAAAGUAUGAAUAUGAAAUUGAGUUUGACAUAUAUUCAUACUCAUAUACAUAUUUAGGAUGCAGUUUGAUUAAAGGAUUGAAUUGCAUGGUAACUUGCCACUGAAGGGUAUUUUUGGUAUUUCUACCAAAUUCCAUAUUUUUUGGGUAGACAUGACACGUUGCUAGACGUCAAUCUUGUUUUAUAGGUUUGAUCAAAUUAAAGAGUUUAAUUCGAACACCAAUUAGAAAGGAUUCUAAUUGUUAAGUUUGGGUUCGCGCAGUUUGGACUUAAAUCGAUUAGAAGAGUUCUAAUCAAGUUGGGUCAACUCGCACUCACACUUAUUGCUGGCUAAGUACGGAACCCAAUGGGUCACACACAAGAAAACUUAUCAAGGGUCUAAUUGGAUUAGAUUAUGUUUGCAAGAUAAACAUCCUAGCAGGUGUUGCAAACCUUAGCUCCUAAUUCGAAUUGGAUUCGAAUCUGAUUCGAAUUGGAUUCGAAUCUGAUUCUUAGUUGAUCUAAUUUGAUUAGAUCAUAUUCUAAUAUGGGUUAGCCAAAAGUUGGCACCUAAUUGGCUUGGUUUGAGUCUAAUUGGAUUAGAUUUAAUAAAUCAUUCAAUCUAGACCGUUAGAUCUUGAUCUACCGUUGGAUGAAGACAUAAUGGAGAGUUGGUUUAACCCAAUUGGAUUGGGUUAGAGGAUGGCUACCAUAAUUGACCAUUG